GACGAACCGUGCGAACGUUAUUCGGAAUCACUGGGCUUAAAGGGCGCGUAGGCGGGCUCGCAAGUCAGGGGUGAAAGCCCACGGCUCAACCGUGGAAGUGCCUUUGAUACUGCGGGCCUCGAGGGAGGUAGGGCGUGCGGAACUUCCGGUGGAGCGGUGAAUGCGUAGAUAUCGGAAGGAACACCGGUGGCGAAAGCGGCGCGCUGGACCUCUUCUGACGCUGAGGCGCGAAAGCCAGGGGAGCCAAACGGG
rnacentral:rRNA from 1 species